GGAACUUAAAAAGUCCGAUCGGCAAG
rnacentral:piRNA from 1 species